GGCCGCUUGCCGGAACCGGUAGACGGAACGCACUUAAAAUGCGUCGUGGUCAUCCACGUGCGGGUUCGAGUCCCGCAGCGGCUA
rnacentral:tRNA from 2 species